GAUUUUCAAAGAGAUCAGUCUCCGAGUCCACACCUGGUUUAUCCGAAGCGAAAGACAGCGAAAACGAGAGAGGUGGCAGAGAGCGUCGAUAGAAAAUUAAGAUUCGGGUCUUAAAGAGGUUCCACGAAGCUAUCAAGUUCGUUAAUUUUGUGUUAAAUUCUUUUCAAAAACUCUAAUUUAUUUAGAUUCAUCGUUAAUUUAUUUAUUUCAAAAUCUUAAACGAA